UAUAGGGAACUUUUGGGAUAGCAUUUGAAAUGUAAAUAAAGAAAAUAUCUAAAAAAAAAAAGAAUAUAUAGUCAGAGUCACAGACCUAAUCAAAGUGGAGAAGUGGAGGGGGUCGCCAACUCCAUCGCUUCGUGAUCAGUGGUUAUCUAUUUGGAUCUGUCUCUAGUAGGUUUCGUGAGAGUGUGCUUCUGGUUGCCAUGAAAGGGGACCUACAUGAGAGUUGUUCUUGAGCUGCAAGCUUUUCUGAGAAAUUCUCAUGUUUGGACACAGAAACAGGAAAGAGAAGAUAAACUUGAAGGUCAGGGAAGUCAACAUAGGGCCUUCAGAGCACUGUAAAGGCUCAAGGAUUUUUUUCUUAUAAGAACAGUGAAGAGACACUGAGGACUUUGAAGUGGGAAGACCUUCUCCUUUUUAAGUUGGGUGUAAGUGGACAGUGAGAGGAGCUUCCAUCUCAUCCAGAGAUAUCUUUGAAUCACGUCAGAGUUAACUGUGUGUUGUCCUCCUGUGAUUCUGACCCAUGGUUUGCUGGUUUGUUAUUUAGUGGCUUUCCAUAGAGUGAUCUCAGUGUAGUCAGUGAUAGCCUAUGGUCUAUGGUUUGUAGUAACACAAAUACAGAGAUUAAAAGGAUUUUUAGGAAAUGCUUAUUUCGUCUGCUAGGUGGAGAAGCUUUCCUUCUAGAAUGGUCUGUCAUUUUUAGCAGAUAUCUCUCUCUUCUCCAGCAUGUCCUGGUCUCUCUUGUAGAAGAGGCAAACUCAUAACUCUAUGUGCUGAGCACUUUAUAUUGAGCUGCAGAACUGAUUCAAUGUAUUUUCUCAUUUACUUUGUAGCAGUGAGGAUGUGGAUGUAAUAAUUGUCUUCAGUGGUCUGUUAAUUCCCUUAAGAUGACUACAAUUUUACAAAAUUAUUCUUUUCCUUUUUGAGACAAGGGUUCAUAUGACCAGAAUUGAGUUAACAGUGCAGAAUCUUUUACACUGACAGGGACCAAUUAAUGAUUGACUAAUUUUGGAAAGCAAUUGAGCAGGGCGUCAUUGAAAAACUUGUAAGUGUAAUACAAACAUGUUCUUUAAUUUGAAACAUAUCACUGUAUCCACUCUGCUGUAAUUUAAAGUCAUGUUAAAUCAUUUUCGUUGAUUAUGUAACUAGUGACUGAUGGGCGUUCUAAGUUGUUUAUUUCUUGCAUUAAUCUUGCAUUAGCCUCUCAUUAUAAUUAUCAGUACUGGUGUCUUUGAAAUUGUAUUUUCCUUUUUUUCAAAAGUGACAUGUCUAGUGGAAAGGCUUUCAGGAAUAUAGAAAAAAAAACCCAAAAACAAAACAAUGCAAUACAUAGUUAGUCUGAAGCCUACAUGGUUGAAAUCAAACAUAGUAUAACUUAACAGUUAUAUAAGACAGGGAGAUUGAAAUGUUCUUUGUUGAAGUGUUUAAUCUGUGGAUGAGAAUGGCCCUGUGUCUUGCUUGAGAGAGGAGCUACAAAUGGAAUGGGUGGCUCAGCUCCUCCAGCUGAACCUCUCUUUCUGUUGAGAGAAAGAACCUGACAUUUGGUGUGGAUCAUUUCACCUCUGAGAAGUCGGAAAAGGUAAUGAUGUGGAAGGCUACAAAAUAAGUG
rnacentral:lncRNA from 1 species